AGAAUCAACGCUGGCGGCGUGCCUAACACAUGCAAGUCGAUCGAGAAAGUGGAGCAAUCCAUGAGUAAAGAGGCGCACGGGUGAGUAACACGUGACUAACCUACCCUCGAGUGGGGAAUAACCUGGGGAAACCCGGGCUAAUACCGCAUAAUACCCACGGGUCAAAGGAGCAAUUCGCUUGAGGAGGGGGUCGCGGCAGAUUAGUUAGUUGGCGGGGUAAUGGCCCACAAGACGAUGAUCUGUA
rnacentral:rRNA from 1 species